CCUACGGGCGGCAGCAGUAGGGAAUAUUGCUCAAUGGGGGAAACCCUGAAGCAGCAACGCCGCGUGGAGGAUGAAGGUUUUCGGAUUGUAAACUCCUUUUGUUAGAGAAGAUAAUGACGGUAUCUAACGAAUAAGCACCGGCUAACUCCGUGCCAGCAGCCGCGGUAAUACGGAGGGUGCAAGCGUUACUCGGAAUUACUGGGCGUAAAGCGCGCGUAGGCGGGAUAGCAAGUCAGAAGUGAAAUCCUAUGGCUUAACCAUAGAACUGCAUUUGAAACUGUUAUUCUAGAGUAUGGGAGGGGUAGGUGGAAUUCUUGGUGUAGGGGUAAAAUCCGUAGAGAUCAAGAGGAAUACUCAUGGCGAAGGCGACCUGCUAGAACAUAACUGACGCUGAUGCGCGAAAGCGUGGGGAGCAAACAGGAUUAGAUUCCCGAGUAGUC
rnacentral:rRNA from 1 species